UAGAGAAUACCAAGGCGCUUGAGAGAACUCGGGUGAAGGAACUAGGCAAAAUGGUGCCGUAACUUCGGGAGAAGGCACGCUGAUGGUAGGUGAAGCGACUUGCUCGUGGAGCUGAAAUCAGUCGAAGAUACCAGCUGGCUGCAACUGUUUAUUAAAAACACAGCACUGUGCAAACACGAAAGUGAACGUAUACGGUGUGACGCCUGCCCGGUGCCGGAAGGUUAAUUGAUGGGGUUAUCCGUAAGGAGAAGCUCUUGAUCGAAGCCCCGGUAAACGGCGGCCGUAACUAUAACGGUCCUAAGGUAGCGAAAUUCCUUGUCGGGUAAGUUCCGACCUGCACGAAUGGCGUAAUGAUGGCCAGGCUGUCUCCACCCGAGACUCAGUGAAAUUGAACUCGCUGUGAAGAUGCAGUGUACCCGCGGCAAGACGGAAAGACCCCGUGAACCUUUACUAUAGCUUGACACUGAACACUGGUCCUUGAUGUGUAGGAUAGGUGGGAGGCUUUGAAGUGUGGACGCCAGUCUGCAUGGAGCCAUCCUUGAAAUACCACCCUUUAAUGGCUGGUGUUCUAACGUGGGCCCGUAAUCCGGGUUGCGGACAGUGUCUGGUGGGUAGUUUGACUGGGGCGGUCUCCUCCUAAAGAGUAACGGAGGAGCACGAAGGUCAGCUAAUCCUGGUCGGACAUCAGGAGGUUAGUGCAAUGGCAUAAGCUGGCUUGACUGCGAGCGUGACGGCGCGAGCAGGUGCGAAAGCAGGUCAUAGUGAUCCGGUGGUUCUGAAUGGAAGGGCCAUCGCUCAACGGAUAAAAGGUACUCCGGGGAUAACAGGCUGAUACCGCCCAAGAGUUCAUAUCGACGGCGGUGUUUGGCACCUCGAUGUCGGCUCAUCACAUCCUGGGGCUGAAGUAGGUCCCAAGGGUAUGGCUGUUCGCCAUUUAAAGUGGUACGCGAGCUGGGUUUAGAACGUCGUGAGACAGUUCGGUCCCUAUCUGCCGUGGGCGCUGGAGAAUUGAGGGGGGCUGCUCCUAGUACGAGAGGACCGGAGUGGACGCAUCACUGGUGUUCGGGUUGUCAUGCCAAUGGCAUUGCCCGGUAGCUAAAUGCGGAAGAGAUAAGUGCUGAAAGCAUCUAAGCACGAAACUUGCCCCGAGAUGAGUUCUCCCUGACCCUUUAAGGGUCCUGAAGGAACGUUGAAGACGACGACGUUGAUAGGCCGGGUGUGUAAGCGCAGCGAUGCGUUGAGCUAACCGGUACUAAUGAACCGUGAGGCUUAACCUUACAACGCCGAAG
rnacentral:rRNA from 1 species